UAGGGAAUCUUCCGCAAUGGCCGAAAGUCUGACGGAGCAACGCCGCGUGAGCGAAGAAGGCCUUCGGGUCGUAAAGCUCUGUUGUUAGGGAAGAACAAGUAACGCAGUAACUGGCGUUACCGUGACGGUACCUAACGAGAAAGCCACGGCUAACUACGUGCCAGCAGCCGCGGUAAUACGUAGGUGGCAAGCGUUGUCCGGAAUUAUUGGGCGUAAAGCGCGCGCAGGCGGUUCCUUAAGUCUGAUGUGAAAGCCCACGGCUCAACCGUGGAGGGUCAUUGGAAACUGGGGGACUUGAGUGCAGAAGAGGAGAGCGGAAUUCCACGUGUAGCGGUGAAAUGCGUAGAGAUGUGGAGGAACACCAGUGGCGAAGGCGGCUCUCUGGUCUGUAACUGACGCUGAGGCGCGAAAGCGUGGGGAGCAAACA
rnacentral:rRNA from 1 species